UCGAGACCUCCACACGCAUGUGUUGAUGCACCAUCCUUGUCUGCAAUGCCCCUCGAGCCAUCCUGCACACCACAUGCUUUAUCUUCAUUGGUAACUUCACCCAUGUGAUCCGCUCCACUGAUAGGCUACCAUCCUUUUGCACCCACGGGUUCACCCGCAUCUUCACUCCCCUCCAUCUCCGGAACUUAUGUCCAUUCACCACAAUUACUCUCAACUCCGCACACUACGCUAUACGAAUCUUGGAUUGGCUCCCAAAUCAGCCGACAAAAAAUCACUGUGUCGAAUGUAUACAACUUUGAAAAUGUGGCACACCAAUGUCGUAGAGUUAGUUAAGAGCUUCCACCCCUAUUUCCC
rnacentral:lncRNA from 1 species